CCUGCUCAGUGCCCCUAAACAGCCGCUUUUAGUGCUAAGGUAGCAUAAUCAAUUGUUCCCUAACUAGGAAAUAGAAUGAAAGGACAUAUGAUUCAUAAAUUUUCUUAGUAAAACACCCUUAAUCUAAUAAAGAUGUAAAAAAUCCUCUAAAAAAAAGCCGGACGAUAAGACCCUGCCGAACUUAAUUUCAAUUUAACUGGGGCGGUUAAAACCUAAAUCUUUCCUUUUUCCUUUAAUAAAAGCUAUCAAGAAAUAAACCAAGUUACCGCAGGGAUAACAGCGUAAUAAGUCGCCAAAGCCCAAAUAAAACAACUUGAUUACGACCUCGAUGUUGAAUUAAUGUCCUCAUUCUAGAAACCUAGAAUUAACCGUAAGUCUGUUCGACUUCUAAACAUUACAU
rnacentral:rRNA from 1 species